AAGUCGUAACAAGGUUUCCGUAGGUGAACCUGCGGAAGGAUCAUUACCGAGUUAGGGUCCUCUGGGCUCGACCUCCAACCCUUUGUCUACCUUACCAUAUGUUGCUUCGGCGGGCCCGUCUUCUCAGAAGACCGCCGGAGGGAUCUAAACCGCCCUCUGGCCCGCGCUCGUCGAUGGCCCAUUAUCAAUCUCUUACUUAACAACUGUGUCUGAACUUAACAAACAAAAAUAAGUAAAAACUUUCAACAACGGAUCUCUUGGUUCUGGCAUCGAUGAAGAACGCAGCGAAAUGCGAUAAGUAAUGCGAAUUGCAGAAUCCGUGAGUCAUCGAAUCUUUGAACGCACAUUGCGCCCUUUGGUAUUCCGAAGGGCAUGCCUGUUCGAGCGUCAUUAUCACCCCUCAAGCUCCGGCUUGGUGUUGGGCUUUAGGCGGUUUUAACCAACCGCCGGCCUCAAAAAUAGUGACGGCGCCCUAGAGGGAACCGGUACGAGGAGCUUUGCUAAGCAUGUACACGGCGCGACUCUACGGGCGACGGUCUUUUACCUCAAAAGUUCUUUAAUUAGAUCUUUCAAGUGUUGACCUCGGAUCAGGUAGGAAUACCCGCUGAACUUAA
rnacentral:rRNA from 1 species